CGGACGGGUGAGUAAUGUAUGGGGAUCUGCCUGAUGGCGGGGGAUAACUACUGGAAACGGUAGCUAAUACCGCAUAAUGUCUGCGGACCAAAGCGGGGGACCUCCGGGCCUCGCGCCACCAGAUGAACCCAUAUGGGAUUAGCUAGUAGGUAAGGUAACGGCUUACCUAGGCGACGAUCCCUAGCUGGUCUGAGAGGAUGAUCAGCCACACUGGGACUGAGACACGGCCCAG
rnacentral:rRNA from 1 species